rnacentral:lncRNA from 1 species
GAGAAGGAACGAGUCAGAGGAGAGGAGAGAGAGAGUAAAAAAGGGAGAGUGAGAGAUUUGAUCUUGUGACACCCGUUUUUCCUUUGCACUGGUCACCAUCCCUCCCGAAGUUCUCCAUCUCCCUCAACCCCAUGCGUUAGUCCAGCUUCCUGCCUGGGUAUUGGGUGGAGGGUUCCGUAACCAAUGGUACUGAAUACGGGUGAGCAGAAAGGGGUCCUCUGAAGGGAGUGUGGAUGACUCAGGGCCCUCCCUGCUCCCCAGAUGACACCCUAGGCAGAAAGUCACUUCCCCAUGUCUCCUCUGCAUCACUCAAGGCAGGCGCCUCAACGUCACAGAGCUUCAGGGGCCAUUCAGGCAGCAUAAAUAUGUGGAUCAGCCCAGCACUAACAUAAUAUCAACCGGAGGCCCGAGUUAAAACAGAAGGUGCUGCUUUGCCUCCAGAAUAUUUGUGUGGUGAUCCUCUAAUUUUUCAAGCGAUGGGCUAUAGGAUGAGGACCUGCCAGGGCCAAGAAGACACAUUUCAGAAGGAGGCUCUUAAAGGCCAAGUGGUGAGGAGGUUCCAAGGUGGCCGAAUAGGAAGAGCUCCAGUCUACAGCUCCCAGCGUGAGUGAUGCAGAAGACGGGUGAUUUCUGU